rnacentral:rRNA from 1 species
GAUGAACGCUAGCUACAGGCUUAACACAUGCAAGUCGCGGGGCAGCAUGGGGGUUGCUUGCAAUCCCCGAUGGCGACCGGCGCACGGGUGAGUAACGCGUAUCCAACCUGCCCUUCACCACGGGAUAACCCGGCGAAAGUCGGACUAAUACCGUAUGUUGUCCAUUGACGGCAUCCGAUUUGGACGAAAGGUUUGGCGGUGAAGGAUGGGGAUGCGUCCGAUUAGCUGGACGGCGGGGUGACGGCCCACCGUGGCGACGAUCGGUAGGGGUUCUGAGAGGAAGGUCCCCCACACUGGAACUGAGACACGGUCCAGACUCCUACGGGAGGCAGCAGUGAGGAAUAUUGGUCAAUGGGCGUAAGCCUGAACCAGCCAAGUAGCGUGCAGGAUGACGGCCCUAUGGGUUGUAAACUGCUUUUAUGCGGGGAUGAAGUGGUCCACGUGUGGGUUUUUGCAGGUACCGCAUGAAUAAGGACCGGCUAAUUCCGUG